UGACCAAGGGGCCGGGCUGUUCUGAUCGCUACAGGAUCGGAGUGGCCUAGGGGUACAGGGAGUGCCUCCACCUGUUGGGCCGGGUCAGGCAAGGC
rnacentral:ncRNA from 1 species